GGGUACAGUAGCGUGCAUCCGUAAUCCCAGCUACUCGGGAGGCUGAGGCAGGAGAAUUGCUUGAACCUGGGAGGUGGAGGUUGCAGUGAGCUGAGAUGGCGCCACCGCACUCCAGCCUGGGAGAUAGACUGAGACUCCUCCUCAAAAAAAAAAAAAAAAAAAAAUCUCUCGGGAGGAGGACAAGAGUGGGAUGGUGAUGGAAGUGCUAGAUGGGGACAGAGCCCUAGACAGGGAUG
rnacentral:lncRNA from 10 species